AUUGAACGCUGGCGGCAGGCUUAACACAUGCAAGUCGAGCGGAGAUGAGGUGCUUGCACCUUAUCUUAGCGGCGGACGGGUGAGUAAUGCUUAGGAAUCUGCCUAUUAGUGGGGGACAACUUCCGAAAGGAAUGCUAAUACCGCAUACGUCCUACGGGAGAAAGCAGGGGAUCUUCGGACCUUGCGCUAAUAGAUGAGCCUAAGUCGGAUUAGCUAGUUGGUGGGGUAAAGGCCUACCAAGGCGACGAUCUGUAGCGGGUCUGAGAGGAUGAUCCGCCACACUGGGACUGAGACACGGCCCAGACUCCUACGGGAGGCAGCAGUGGGGAAUAUUGGACAAUGGGGGGAACCCUGAUCCAGCCAUGCCGCGUGUGUGAAGAAGGCCUUACGGUUGUAAAGCACUUUAAGCGAGGAGGAGGCUACUGAGACUAAUACUCUUGGAUAGUGGACGUUACUCGCAGAAUAAGCACCGGCUAACUCUGUGCCAGCCGCCGCCGUAAUAC
rnacentral:rRNA from 1 species